CGUGUAGGCGGUAAUGUAAGUCAGACGUGAAAUCCUUUGGCUCAACUGAAGAACUGCGUCUGAAACUGCAUGACUAGAGUGCAGAAGAGGGAAACGGAAUUCCAGGUGUAGAGGUGAAAUUCGUAGAUAUCUGGAGGAACACCGGUGGCGAAGGCGGUUUCCUGGUCUGACACUGACGCUGAGGCGCGAAAGCGUGGGGAGCAAACAGGAUUAGAUACCCUGGUGGUCCACGCCGUAAACGGUGGGUACUGGGUGUGGGAGGUGUAAUGCCUUCUGUGCCGAAGCUAACGCGUUAAGUACCCCGCCUGGGGAGUACGGCCGCAAGGUUGAA
rnacentral:rRNA from 1 species